rnacentral:rRNA from 1 species
GCUAUACAUGCAGUCGAGCGGACAGAAGGGAGCUUGCUCCCGGAUGUUAGCGGCGGACGGGUGAGUAACACGUGGGUAACCUGCCUGUAAGACUGGGAUAACUCCGGGAAACCGGAGCUAAUACCGGAUAGUUCCUUGAACCGCAUGGUUCAAGGAUGAAAGACGGUUUCGGCUGUCACUUACAGAUGGACCCGCGGCGCAUUAGCUAGUUGGUGGGGUAAUGGCUCACCAAGGCGACGAUGCGUAGCCGACCUGAGAGGGUGAUCGGCCACACUGGGACUGAGACACGGCCCAGACUCCUACGGGAGGCAGCAGUAGGGAAUCUUCCGCAAUGGACGAAAGUCUGACGGAGCAACGCCGCGUGAGUGAUGAAGGUUUUCGGAUCGUAAAGCUCUGUUGUUAGGGAAGAACAAGUGCGAGAGUAACUGCUCGCACCUUGACGGUACCUAACCAGAAAGCCACGGCUAACUACGUGCCAGCAGCCGCGGUAAUACGUAGGUGGCAAGCGUUGUCCGGAAUUAUUGGGCGUAAAGGGCUCGCAGGCGGUUUCUUAAGUCUGAUGUGAAAGCCCCCGGCUCAACCGGGGAGGGUCAUUGGAAACUGGGAAACUUGAGUGCAGAAGAGGAGAGUGGAAUUCCACGUGUAGCGGUGAAAUGCGUAGAGAUGUGGAGGAACACCAGUGGCGAAGGCGACUCUCUGGUCUGUAACUGACGCUGAGGAGCGAAAGCGUGGGGAGCGAACAGGAUUAGAUACCCUGGUAGUCCACGCCGUAAACGAUGAGUGCUAAGUGUUAGGGGGGUUUCCGCCCCUUAGUGCUGCAGCUAACGCAUUAAGCACUCCGCCUGGGGAGUACGGGCGCAAGACUGAACCUCAAUGGAAUUGACGUGGGGCCGCACAAU